UUCCCACGGACGCGCUUGCGGGGACGCACUUUCUGUCUCCCUCUGUUCUCACAACUGCCGGCGCGAAGGUGUAGCAUCGUUCUUGCUUGACCUGUCUUGUAACUGGGUGAUGCGUCAGCUCUGUCAUCUCCUCGGUUGUCUCUCUCUCUUCGUGUUGUCUGCGGGAGGCACCCGCAAUAAGACUUGAGGUCUUACGCGCAGUAGGAAGAUGCCGCCUCUCACGCUCGAACAGGUGCUGGCGCGCUCCAUGCGGCUGCCCCGCCAGCGUACUCAGCAGCAGGCUUCACGCCUCUACAAGAGACACGAGUCAGCUGAACUUGGCGGCAGUCCCGGAUGGGCUCCUUCGACCGCAACGGGAAGCAGCCCGGUGGACUCAGGUGCACCCCGUAGAAGCAGGAUCGCUGCGUUGAUGGGGGGCCGACACGCUGGAAAGCACGGUGGAGCUGGCUGCAGCGGUGUGUCUGAGGCAGUGGCGAACAAGGCGAAGCUGAACUUCUUUGAGCUCAUGGAGCGCGAGGAUGCGCAGCGACGAGCCAGUCGCUUGAGUAUCCACAGCAGCGGCCACCUUGUUCGCAACAGUGCUGACCUCACAACGUACCUAACGACGGCGCAGCGCACCGGUGACUGGGAGGGAGGACUGCGGGCAUUUGCCGAGGCUACCGCACUGCCCGCCGUGGCGGCGAUGCUGCCGGCAUCAGAGGCCACAGCGACGUCCGCUGCCUCCACGGCGGGUACGUCGACCACGUCCACCUCACUGCCGCCCGCACCAUCCAGGUCUGGCAUCAACCCCAAUGAGGUGCAGAUCACCGCUGUUCUCGAUAUGUGUGCCAACGCAGAAAAGUGGGACUUAGUAGAGAAGAUCGGCGUCUUCUUUGCGCCUGCCUACCCAGACACCUUCAGUCGCGCGGUGGAACUCCUCGCGCGGCGCAUGCCAUCAGACUCUAGCGCUGGAGAGGGCGGAUGGCGCUCUGCCUUCGCUUACCUGACCACUCGCUGUCCGUUGCCCGCUGCGGAAAUUACGGUGGAGGCGUUCAACGUUUGUCUGCGCGGCUGCGAGGCGGCACUGGACUGGCGAGGGGCGAUGGAGGUGGUGCGGGCCAUGGGGCCGAACCCGCUGCAAGGCUGGCGUGCCGCCGAUGAAGAGGAGGACGAGGCAGGCUGCGCUGAAGCCGCGGCCUCGCUUGGUUGUCCAGUGACCGCAUCAGACCCUACCGAGGCGGACACGGUGUCCUCGUCGCCGCCGACUGCAUCGGCCUCCCCUGCGCGGUCCAUGUCGACGCCGCCGUCUCCGAACGUAGUGAGUUACGCGACGCUCAUCGCAACACUAGAGCAGGCCGGAAAAGAGAGCCUUGCCUCGGCGGUGCUGAACCGGCUGCCAGCGGUUGAGAAGGAGGAAAUUACGGCCUCGUAUGCCGCGCUGAUUAUGGUGUGGUCGAAUCAAAUCCUGCACAAGCAGCGGCGACGAUUCUGAGUGUGACGACGACGAUGCAUGUACGAUUGAGUGUGGAGAGAGCGAAAGGGGCGUUGAUGGUGCUGGUGGUGGUGGUGAGGAGUGCGCUGCUGCGUUCGGAACGCAUGUGUGCACUCGUGAGUGCGCUUGCGCGUCUCUCCUCUAUGACAAUACACGCGGAGGCGCAGCGCAUGCACGUUGCUGCUUUGGGGCUGUGCUCGUGAGGAAUGCUGAAGCGGUGAGGUAAGAAAACGUGGCGAAAGUAAAAGGAACCCGGACAGAGGCGAAUGGAAAGGGUGAGGGGGGCGCCAGAAGUGAGUGCAGCACAGAUAGAUGCGGUUUGCUUGUCGAGCACCUUUACGCAUCCUUAGGCGGCAGCGACACACGCUCGAGCACACACAAUCGCGGAAGGAGGCAGUGCAAUGGCUUUGCAUCGUGCGCAACGCGAGGGCAAAAGCUGAGGUGACAGCUCUGCUGGAGCGCUGCUUUCUGUUCACGGCCACUGACACUCACAAGCGUUUGCUUUGCGUAAGUAUGGGGGGGGGAGGGCGGCAUUCACUCGAGGUGCCGCUAUUCGCGUCGGGACAGGCGCGCAUGCUUCAUCUUCGUCCUUGCCCGUGUCCUUUGCCUCCCGCACUCUCUUAUCCCGUUCAUUCCCAUCUUUUUUUUUUUCAG
rnacentral:misc_RNA from 1 species